CGGGGGGGCAAGCGUUGUUCGGAAUUACUGGGCGUAAAGGGCUCGUAGGCGGCCAACUAAGUCAGACGUGAAAUCCCUCGGCUUAACCGGGGAACUGCGUCUGAUACUGGAUGGCUUGAGUUUGGGAGAGGGAUGCGGAAUUCCAGGUGUAGCGGUGAAAUGCGUAGAUAUCUGGAGGAACACCGGUGGCGAAGGCGGCAUCCUGGACCAAUACUGACGCUGAGGAGCGAAAGCCAGGGGAGCAAACGGGAUUAGAUACCCCGGUAGUCCUGGCCCUAAACGAUGAAUGCUUGGUGUGGCGGGUAUCGAUCCCUGCCGUGCCGAAGCUAACGCAUUAAGCAUUCCGCCUGGGGAGUACGGUCGCAAGGCUG
rnacentral:rRNA from 1 species